rnacentral:rRNA from 1 species
UACGGAGGGGGUUAGCGUUGUUCGGAAUUACUGGGCGUAAAGCGCGCGUAGGCGGAUCAGAAAGUUGGGGGUGAAAUCCCGGGGCUCAACCCCGGAAUUGCCUUCAAAACUCCUGGUCUUGAGUUCGAGAGAGGUGAGUGGAAUUCCGAGUGUAGAGGUGAAAUUCGUAGAUAUUCGGAGGAACACCAGUGGCGAAGGCGGCUCACUGGCUCGAUACUGACGCUGAGGUGCGAAAGCGUGGGGAGCAAACAGG